rnacentral:rRNA from 1 species
GACGAACGCUGGCGGCGUGCUUAACACAUGCAAGUCGAACGGAAAGGCCCUGCUUUUGUGGGGUGCUCGAGUGGCGAACGGGUGAGUAACACGCGAGUAACCUGCCCUUGACUUUGGGAUAACUUCAGGAAACUGGGGCUAAUACCGGAUAGGAGCUCCUGCUGCAUGGUGGGGGUUGGAAAGUUUCGGCGGUUGGGGAUGGACUCGCGGCUUAUCAGCUUGUUGGUGGGGUAGUGGCUUACCAAGGCUUUGACGGGUAGCCGGCCUGAGAGGGUGACCGGCCACAUUGGGACUGAGAUACGGCCCAGACUCCUACGGGAGGCAGCAGUGGGGAAUAUUGCACAAUGGGCGGAAGCCUGAUGCAGCAACGCCGCGUGCGGGAUGACGGCCUUCGGGUUGUAAACCUCUUUCGCCUGUGACGAAGCGUGAGUGACGGUAAUGGGUAAAGAAGCACCGGCUAACUACGUG